UUUCCGUAGGUGAACCUGCGGAAGGAUCAUUACCCUUCAAUCAGAGGUCAGGCUUUAGUGUUGAGGGCAUUCCCCUCCUCCUAGCCCUACCUUUCUGAUUUUACCCGUGAUUUUUGCGCACUCUAUGUUUCCUCGGCAGGCUUGCCUGCCGGUGGACGAUUAAUAACCUUAUGUAAUUGCAAUCAGCGUCAGUAACGAUAAAAUUAUUACAACUUUCAACAACGGAUCUCUUGGUUCUGGCAUCGAUGAAGAACGCAGC
rnacentral:misc_RNA from 1 species